GUUUCCGUAGGAGGGCUUGGUGGUGUAACCACGGGAGGUGUUGGUGUAGGUGGUGUAACAAUCGGUGGGGUUGGUGUAGGUGGUGUAACAAUAGGUGGUGAUGGUACAACUGGGGGUAGUGGAACAUAAGGUGGAGGGUAAACAAUUGGUGGUUUCACAAUAGGAGGUGUUGGAACAUAAGGUGGAGGGUAAACAAUUGGUGGUUUCACAAUAGGAGGUUUUGGAACAUAAGGUGGAGGGUAAACAAUGGGUGGUUUUGGCACAUAAGGUGGUGUCACCGGUACAACCGGUGGCUUAGGCACAUAUGGCGGUGUAACUGGUACAACAGGUGGUUUUGGCACAUAAGGUGGAGAAACAACUGGUGGCUUAGGAACAUAAGGUGGUGGUUUCACAACUGGUGGUUUAGGCACAUAAGGAGGUUUCACAAUUGGUGGUUUGGGAACAUGGGGUGGUUUUGGCACAUAAGGUGGUUUCACAAUUGGUGGUUUUGGAACAUGGGGUGGUUUCACAACUGGUGGUUUUGGCACAUGAGGUGGUUUAACCACUGGAGGCUUGGGAUAGUGAGGUGGUUUUGGUGAUGGCUUGGGGGGUGGACAUGGUUCCGGGCCAUGAGAUGGAGGGUACUUUGGGGGGUUAUGAACUG
rnacentral:lncRNA from 1 species